AAAGAAGAAAAAAAAUGCACACGCAUACCUCUCCCCAUCCUCUCUCUCUCGGUUCCUCCGGAGUCCCGACGCGGUGGCGGACGAAGCGACGACGCCCUUCCCUCUCCACAUCUGGCGUCGCGCCGGCCGGGAUGCCGUGGCGACCGCCCUCCAGUGCACCAGCGAUGGCCUCGGCCUCGGCCUCCUCCUCGCGCAUCCCUCCGCCUCCCUCUCGCUGUCCUCGCCAGCGCUUCCCCUUGUGACGAUCUACCAGCGUCGCUCCUUCUCCGCCAGCCAGAUACCUGAGCCAAAUCCACCACUGCCGCAUUCGCUCCCCUCUGAGGGCCGACCGGAGAAGGAUCUUGCACCCCGUGCAACUCCCUCGCAGGUGAGGUUCUUGAUGUGCCCUAGGGUUAGGAUUAAACGUUGUUUUCUUGUCCGAUUUGUGCUUUCUUGAUCGAAUCGACACACUUACUGUUUAAUUUAUGAAUGCAUAUUUCGGUUUUUGUUGAGGUAUCUUCGUUGUUCGCUGCAUGCCCUUGGUUUGGUGUGUUGUAAGCUGCACCAGUUCAAAGUUCUGGAACAUGACCUUCCAUGUGCGGCAGCAGUGCUUACAUUGUCCGAUUUAGAGCAUGAGGUAAGCAAGAGCAUUCCUCAGUCCAAACUUUUUAUUAUUCGUGCAACACGUUAUUUUAACUCAUGGAUGCCCACAAUAACCAAAUCUCUAUGCUGCAGCUACUAUAUUUCUUUUCACCCAUUGGGCAGAACUUGAAUAUGGCUCCCGUCAUAUAUUUUUCUGUACUGAAUCUUUUUCAAAACAUGUUUAGCGACCACUGCACUUUUGUAAUGAAAAUAUUCAAAACAUGUUUACUGACCACUGCACUUUUGUAAUGAAACAAAGAAGACAUACAGACAUAAUCUUAAUUCUUACAAGGACAGGAAGCCGGUGACAAAUUUUUGGCCCUUUCAUAAACUAGGAUGGAUUUCCUCCUCAAUGAAAUACCUCGAAUUAAUUAUCACUGAAAUAUUGUUUCCUGAAUAUGGAGGUUGCACAUAUGUUGGUUUUCAAGCUGACAUGUUAUCAUACAGUAUCGAGUUUGUCUGUAUAUAUGGAACUAAUGGGAUUCCUUGCUCCUGUCUAUGAAGGUUAUGGCCAGACAAAAGAGUUUGUUUCCUGUUGUAAUUUUGUACAGAUCCUAUCUCUUAUAGGACAUCAACAAAAAAAGGGUUAGCCUUGAAAUUGUUUGCAUAGGCGGUACCCGUAAUAUCUGUGCUUUGUGCUUUGUUCAUUUAAGAUUUACUAUCUUGUCAUGUUGGCUCCACCAUUUGGUUCUGGGCAUGAUAUUCUCCUGUUAGGUUCAGCUAGCGGUAUUAUAUAAUCUUGCUUGAUUAUCACUGUCUUCGAGUAGAGAUUCUUGAUGAUGCAGUUCCUUUAAAAAUUCCAUGUCUAUUUAGUAGUUGGUAUUAAUGUUAGUAUGUUUGAUGUGCUCCUGCUCUAAAGCUAAUGCUACUUAAGGUGUAGCAUGCUAAUUUUUUUAUUCUAUGCCAUCUGUAAAUUUUUUCAAACAAUAAAUUUCAUUAGCAAUUUAAGAGUUGCACCCUGUUGCCUCUAUUGUAUAGAGGCAUUAGCGGAGCCUAAAGCAUUUAGGAGCCCACAAAAUUUUUAUUGUGCAAAAAUAUUUAGAUAGAAAAUUACACGGGUCUACUUUGAUAUAAAGAUUUUCUUUUUGAAUGUUAGCCACGAGCCUGGCCGGCCACCCGGGUGGCCGGGCGGUGCCUCCGUCAAUAUAUAGAGGACAAAGAGUGCUUUUUUCCUUGGGCUAAUCCUGCUGCAUAGCAUUAGAGGCAAAAAAAAGAUGCUUUACUCAAUACAGAUCCCUGGUGAGGAUUCUUGCUACGGGCACUGCUCAUUUGCAGUGGUUGUCAAUAAAUAUCCAUGCUGAGGGUUGAUGCUACAUGUGCUGGUGGUUUCUUCGGCGUCACGAAAUUUAAUUUCAAUAUAUAAGUGCAGAACUGUAGGUCAAUUCUGGAUUGAUUUAGUUGAUAAUUCAGUCUUCGUGUUGAUGCUAUUCUAUCUAUGUUUUCCCAGCUUUCAUAUUCUUUGCUUUCCAUCUUCGUGACUGUACUCAGCUCAGUGGUGAUAGGGUGCUGCUAAUACAUGUAACAGAUAGAUUUUGUAGCUACAAUGCAGAGUUUUUAUUACUAUGUUUCUAUUGCCAAUCCCGUAGUCUAUUUAAUAGCACAUACUACUACCAAGAACUUCACCUAGAAUGGAAUUGCUGCUUUUUUGGGUAUUCUCUCCAUAUCUACAUUUCUCGGGAACUUUCAUGCUAUUUCUCCUUUUUACAUUAUUACAAUCCAGAGGUUACAUUAUUCUUUUGUUUGUUCCCAGGUAUCCGAAUAGACAACUAUUUCUCCAUUUCUAUUUCUGCUUUUCAUGUUCACAUGUGUCCACCAUGGCUUCUGACUUCCCUCCAAGAUUCCAGCAUCAUGCAUGGUGUAGUACCAUCUGUGUUCAUGCUGCAAGGAGAUGUGAUAGAUCAUUAUUCAUUACCUUUGUUUUAGAAAUACCUGGUUUUGCACAUAUUUAGUUUGUAUCACUGCUUGUAGUGCAUAUUUUUUCUUUCUUAUAUUUGUCUGUACAUUAAGUACCUUUCUCUAUUCAUGAAUUUGCAUGAAAGCUUUUUGCCUGCUAGCUUGUUACCUGUUGUCUAAGACACUUUAUAGAGGUAUACAUAUAAAAAAGAGUGUCAUUUGCUGGUUUCUCCAUGAAGGCUUGAGAUUACAGCGAGGUACAGUUCAUAGCACACCAGCUUUCAUUUUUGGGUUUUGUCCUCAGCUCAUUGCUUACGUACAUAUCUUUUUAAAAUCUUGAUCUUUGGUUAUUAAGAUUUUGUCUCGGGAAAAAAAGCUGCUCUACAAAAAAGUGAAAUCUUCAUGAUGAAAAUAUAAUUCAUCAAUGAAAAAAACAUUCAAACACAUAGUUUUAUUGGUACUGUCUUUUUCGUAAAUUAUUAUACCGAGAUCCUACUAUCCUACCAUGAAUGACAAGGACCUACUGUCAUUUUUCUGCCUUCACAUGCUGCGUAUGUUUGGAUUUAAGAGAUCUCGUACCAAAAAACAGGGAUAUAGUUGCUGAUAUUUUUUCCCCCAUGAGUGUCAAUAUUUUGACACAGGCUAUUUUUAACAUGUCCGGUUUCUAACAGGCCGUUGUGUUGCUCUCCAUAUUGUAUUUCAUCAACUCAAGAUCAUUGUUGUGCUAUCUGUGUUAGGCUUCAGCAGUUAAAGAGAAUCAAUGAGUACCUUAGCUAUCAGUGGUCAGGAUUCAUUGCUUUCAGCACUGCUUAUUUAAGUCUAUUAUCCAUGACCUCCAUGUGUGCUUCUAAUGUUACUUCAUCACUUUAACUGCCUUGCUUAUCUAAGUAGUUGUGCAUGUCUGCUUUACCUAUUGUAUUAUCAGCAUAUUCCUUUUAUUAGAAUUAGAACUUUUUGUUAUUUCUAUAGUUAAGGCUUCAUUUACGGUCUCACCUCAUUUUCUUAACCGAAAAAAGAUUCAAAGAAGUGCUUCCUGUCUCUAUUGCAUGUUUUGUAUAGUCGGUAGUGUCAUAUAUAACUGAAAAUUAUUAUGUACAUAAUGCUAUGUGUUUUUUUGGUCAGACAGUACUGAAAAGAUUCUUCAAUGCUGAUAGCUGUACAUCAUGACUAUGCAUAGGCCAAUGCCUGCAGGAAUGAAACUGGUUACAGUUAAGAGCAACAAUUGCAUAGACAUACAUUCAAUUGGCUGUGUUAUUCAUGCAAAUGAUUGAAUUCAGAUGUUUGCAUUUUUUAUGCAUAAAAAUUAUACAAACAUUUAAGUGGAGAGACAUUUCUAUGUGUUUUUCUCUCCUUUUUCCUUUUAUCAUCUUUUCUUGGAUUUUGUUAUCACUUCUCACCACAUUUCCUUCCUAUAUAUGCCUCGUGAUCUUGUACAUAUGAUAUAUGAUGUUAGCUGUUCUUGUCCUUUUAUUAUUUUUCUACAAAGAAGUGGCGAUAACAUGUCACAUAUUUUGCCCUUUUAUUAUUUUUCAACUGUUUACAGAAACAUGUUUCUACAAUGGCAUCUUCUUGUAUGCCCACAUAUAUGUGUCAGUUCUACCAAUGAGUGUUUAAAUUAACUUGGAGAAGGUAGACAAUGAUGGAAGGUUCUGUGAGUCUUCAAAAAUGUUUCUAAACAUUUUUUGGCAGGUUCCUUAAUUCUUCUUUAUGUUUGUAUGUAUGGGCAACCAACAUGGUUUGAGAUCAUUUCAGAUUACAUCAGAGUUUCCAUGAAAGCACUUUUGGUGUAUGGUGCAUGUGACGAAAUUAACAGAUAAGCUCAACUGAACCGCCCAAGGCUCCAAUAAGUCAGGUGCACAGGUUCAUCUGCUGCUCUAUUGAUUUUUAUUGUUUUAAUUCUAGCUAUAUAUAUAAGUCCACCCAACAGCAUUGCCCAAUUGCAGUAGCGCAUAUGGAGUUAAACUUCAACUGAGCAAACCAAAUGGGGCUAACUCUGCGCGAUCUCGAUACGACAAUAAUCCUAUCUAUGGACAUCUCAUUUAUUACCAUCUUAUUAUGGUUUUGAUUAGAGACAUACUUAUACCAAGGUGUUUUUAUUCGAUUCAAUGUCAACCCCAAGACUGCCGUGAAUCUUUGAGACAUGCAUGCUGUCAGUAAAAAACAGUAGAUAGUUUGUGGUGAGGUGCUGUGAUGCAUGAAUGUGAGCUUGUUGAUUUAGUCCCGUCGGCUUCAACCGUGUUUGAAUUCACAGGAAAUCUCCAACAAGAAAAGACUUUUGGUCUUCUCCUGUCAACGACAUGGAUUAAGAUUUGUAAGAUGACUGAACUGAUCUGAUGCUUAAGCAUGUGUUGAACAACAUUUUUGUCCACAUUCCUUUUACCAAAGACCGAUUCCAAUGAAACUGCUGACGACCAGCGUAGAACCAGAGCUAGCUUUACUCACAAAUUAAAAUAUAUCCUUUUUUAAAUUGCACAGUGCAACACAUACAUUCACAACACACGAACACUUAUUUCUAUGAACACACGUGUGUAAAACCUAUCUCUAUGAGCACCUUCUGAAAGACUGAACCGACAGAUCAAGAAAUUCGUGAAGUUACCAUAGCGUCUCGUUGCCGACAGAGACAUUGUCUAGCACUGAAAAUAUAGCGUUGUUAAAUCCUGGAAUAAAUCUAGAAAAAUACGAGCACCUUUGCCAAGUCAAAAAUUUAAAUCC